rnacentral:rRNA from 1 species
GGUGGGGGGGCGUGCCUAAAACAUGCAAGUCGAGCGCAGGAAGCAGGCAGAUCCCCUUCGGGGGUGAUGCCUGUGGAAUGAGCGGCGGACGGGUGAGUAACACGUGGGCAACCUGCCUGUAAGAUCGGAAUAACUCCGGGAAACCGGGGCUAAUGCCGGGUAAUCCUUUUUUUCGCAUGAGAGAGAGGUAAAAGAUGGCCUUUGGCUAUCACUUACAGAUGGGCCCGCGGCGCAUUAGCUAGUUGGUGAGGUAAUAGCUCACCAAGGCGACGAUGCGUAGCCGACCUGAGAGGGUGAUCGGCCACACUGGGACUGAGACACGGCCCAGACUCCUACGGGAGGCAGCAGUAGGGAAUCUUCCGCAAUGGACGAAAGUCUGACGGAGCAACGCCGCGUGAACGAUGAAGGUCUUCGGAUCGUAAAGUUCUGUUGUUAGGGAAGAACAAGUACCGUGCGAAUAGAGCGGUACCUUGACGGUACCUAACGAGGAAGCCCCGGCUAACUACGUGCCAGCAGCCGCGGUAAUACGUAGGGGGCAAGCGUUGUCCGGAAUUAUUGGGCGUAAAGCGCGCGCAGGCGGUUUCUUAAGUCUGAUGUGAAAGCCCACGGCUCAACCGUGGAGGGUCAUUGGAAACUGGGGAACUUGAGGACAGAAGAGGAGAGUGGAAUUCCACGUGUAGCGGUGAAAUGCGUAGAUAUGUGGAGGAACACCAGUGGCGAAGGCGACUCUCUGGUCUGUUUCUGACGCUGAGGUGCGAAAGCGUGGGUAGCAAACAGGAUUAGAUACCCUGGUAGUCCACGCCGUAAACGAUGAGUGCUAGGUGUUAGGGGGCUUCCACCCCUUAGUGCUGAAGUUAACGCAUUAAGCACUCCGCCUGGGGAGUACGGCCGCAAGGCUGA